rnacentral:tRNA from 1 species
GCUCGCGUAGCUCAACCGGUAGAGCAACGGUUUUGUAAACCGUAGGUUGUGGGUUCAAGUCCCUCCGUGAGCU